GAUGAAGAACGUAGUGAAAUGCGAUAAGCAAUGUGAAUUGCAGAAUUCAGUGAAUCAUCGAAUCUUUGAACGCACCUUGCGCUCCCUGGUAUUCCGGGGAGCACGCCUGUUCGAGUGUCGCGAUAUUCUUCAAGCCUUGGAUGGAUUUUUUUUUUGUCUGUCCUUGGGCUUGGUUGUUGGGCUCUGCCGUGUCCUUCAUUGGGACGGCUGGCCUUAAAAGCAUUAGCCGAUCCUCGUGUGGUACUGGUUCUACUCAGCGUGAUAACAAUCUGAUCGUUGAGGACAUCUUCUGGAUGGCCAGUCAUCAUUUGGGUUGCUUCUAAACCGGUUUCGCAGAUUGCUCAAUCUGUGUGCCACUUUUCAGCUUUGACCUCGAAUCAGGUGGGACUACCCGCUGAACUUAAGCAUAUCAAUAAGCGGAGGA
rnacentral:misc_RNA from 1 species